ACCGGCGUAGCUCAAGAGGUAGAGCGUUCCGAUACAAAUUGGGAAGGUUGCAGGUUCGAAUCCUUCCGCCGGUA
rnacentral:tRNA from 1 species